GAUGAACGCUGGCGGCGUGCCUAAUACAUGCAAGUCGAGCGAACAGACGAGGAGCUUGCUCCUCUGACGUUAGCGGCGGACGGGUGAGUAACACGUGGAUAACCUACCUAUAAGACUGGGAUAACUUCGGGAAACCGGAGCUAAUACCGGAUAAUAUAUUGAACCGCAUGGUUCAAUAGUGAAAGACGGUUUUGCUGUCACUUAUAGAUGGAUCCGCGCCGCAUUAGCUAGUUGGUAAGGUAACGGCUUACCAAGGCGACGAUGCGUAGCCGACCUGAGAGGGGGAUCGGCCACACUGGAACUGAGGCACGGUCCAGACUCCUACGGGAGGCAGCAGUAGGGAAUCUUCCGCAAUGGGCGAAAGCCUGACGGAGCAACGCCGCGUGAGUGAUGAAGGUCUUCGGAUCGUAAAACUCUGUUAUUAGGGAAGAACAAAUGUGUAAGUAACUAUGCACGUCUUGACGGUACCUAAUCAGAAAGCCACGGCUAACUACGUG
rnacentral:rRNA from 1 species